UACGUAGGGGGCGAGCGUUAUCCGGAAUUACUGGGCGUAAAGGGUGCGCAGGCGGUUAUAUAAGACAGAUGUGAAAUCCCCGGGCUCAACCUGGGAACUGCGUUUGUGACUGUAUGACUAGAGUACGGUAGAGAGGGGUGGAAUUCCUGGUGUAGCAGUGAAAUGCGUAGAUAUCAGGAGGAACAUCGAUGGCGAAGGCAGCCCCUUGGACCUGUACUGACGCUCAUGCACCGAAAGCGUGGGGAGCAAACAGG
rnacentral:rRNA from 1 species